UACGUAGGGGGCGAGCGUUGUCCGGAUUUAUUGGGCGUAAAGAGCGUGUAGGCGGUUCGGUAAGUCUGCCGUGAAAACCUGAGGCUCAACCUCGGGCGUGCGGUGGAUACUGCCGGGCUAGAGGACGGUAGAGGCGAGUGGAAUUCCCGGUGUAGCAGUGAAAUGCGUAGAGAUGCGGAGGAACACCGAUGGCGAAGGCAGCCUCCUGGGAUAACACUGACGCUCAUGCACGAAAGCGUGGGGAGCAAACAGG
rnacentral:rRNA from 1 species